rnacentral:precursor_RNA from 15 species
UCUGCAUCUCCGCACCCACCCAGGUCAGUGCUUAGCACCGAGUAAGCACUCAGUAAGUACUUGGUGAGUGCUUGCUGGGUGCCAGGCACUGUGUUGGGGGCUUUGAGGGGAUCCAGAG